rnacentral:rRNA from 1 species
AACGAACGCUGGCGGCAUGCCUAACACAUGCAAGUCGAACGAGACCUUCGGGUCUAGUGGCGCACGGGUGCGUAACGCGUGGGAACCUGCCCUUAGGUUCGGAAUAACUCCCAGAAAGGGGUGCUAAUACCGGAUAAUGUCUUCGGACCAAAGAUUUAUCGCCUUUGGAUGGGCCCGCGUUGGAUUAGCUAGUUGGUAGGGUAAAAGCCUACCAAGGCGACGAUCCAUAGCUGGUCUGAGAGGAUGAUCAGCCACACUGGGACUGAGACACGGCCCAGACUCCUACGGGAGGCAGCAGUGGGGAAUAUUGGACACUGGGCGAAAGCCUGAUCCAGCAAUGCCGCGUGAGUGAUGAAGGCCUUAGGGUUGUAAAGCUCUUUUACCCGGGAUGAUAAUGACAGUACCGGGAGAAUAAGCUCCGGCUAACUCCGUG